UGCAGUCGAGCGGACAGAAGGGAGCUUGCUCCCGGAUGUUAGCGGCGGACGGGUGAGUAACACGUGGGUAACCUGCCUGUAAGACUGGGAUAACUCCGGGAAACCGGAGCUAAUACCGGAUAGUUCCUUGAACCGCAUGGUUCAAGGAUGAAAGACGGUUUCGGCUGUCACUUACAGAUGGACCCGCGGCGCAUUAGCUAGUUGGUGGGGUAAUGGCUCACCAAGGCGACGAUGCGUAGCCGACCUGAGAGGGUGAUCGGCCACACUGGGACUGAGACACGGCCCAGACUCCUACGGGAGGCAGCAGUAGGGAAUCUUCCGCAAUGGACGAAAGUCUGACGGAGCAACGCCGCGUGAGUGAUGAAGGUUUUCGGAUCGUAAAGCUCUGUUGUUAGGGAAGAACAAGUGCGAGAGUAACUGCUCGCACCUUGACGGUACCUAACCAGAAAGCCACGGCUAACUACGUGCCAGCAGCCGCGGUAAUACGUAGGUGGCAAGCGUUGUCCGGAAUUAUUGGGCGUAAAGGGCUCGCAGGCGGUUUCUUAAGUCUGAUGUGAAAGCCCCCGGCUCAACCGGGGAGGGUCAUUGGAAACUGGGAAACUUGAGUGCAGAAGAGGAGAGUGGAAUUCCACGUGUAGCGGUGAAAUGCGUANAGAUGUGGAGGAACACCAGUGGCGAAGGCGACUCUCUGGUCUGUAACUGACG
rnacentral:rRNA from 1 species